GUCUCAACUCAGCUCCUUGCAGGAAGAUUACAUCAGCUCCCCAAGUUGAGGAGACACCUGGGCCUUCCUCCCCCAAAGCCCGUUUAGGAAAGGAAGACUGAGUGACUCAGAGUAUGGCAGGGUGUUCAGGGGCCCCGAUUCCACAGUUCCCAUAGAGAUGACCUUGAGGCACUCAUUGACUUUGAACUGCCCUGGCUAAGGAGCCGCAGCCCAGUCCUCAUCCACAGCUCACCAAAGAAAAGGACCCCGAGCGCAUGGAGUCCAUGGUGCCUGGCUCCAAAUCCACGAGCACAGCGCAAGCCACGUACCUGCCACAUGAAGGGAAUGGGAAGGCAUCGCUUUUCGAAUCUCUUACUCACCAAACCUAGUCUCUCUUGGAAGACCUUCUCUGCCUUAAUCAACGUUUUCCCCAUAGACCCAGCAAGAGCACUCUGUUACCUUGAAGAUUCAAUGUCCUGUGUGACUGAUGAAAGUCCUGGGAUCUUUUUAGGAUCUCCUCUCUAAGGGCCAUUCACAAAGUGGUGAGUUCAUUUGCCCACAGUCCACAUUGCAGCCAAAAGCAAAGCCAAACACCAGCUGUGCCUGGAUCUCCCUGCAUAGCACAUUCACCUUGCCUUGCAUACAUUUCCUUCACUAUACGAGGAUAAGAACACUUUUGAGAUCAUCGCUGUGCAUGUUCUCUGUUCAAACUAAAACAUACAUUAAAU
rnacentral:lncRNA from 13 species